rnacentral:rRNA from 1 species
GUGGGGAAUAUUGGACAAUGGGGGGAACCCUGAUCCAGCCAUGCCGCGUGUGUGAAGAAGGCCUUUUGGUUGUAAAGCACUUUAAGCGAGGAGGAGGCUACCGAGAUUAAUACUCUUGGAUAGUGGACGUUACUGGCAGAAUAAGCACCGGCUAACUCUGUGCCAGCAGCCGCGGUAAUACAGAGGGUGUAAGCGUUAAUCGGAUUUACUGGGCGUAAAGCGCGCGUAGAUGGCCAAUUAAGUCGAAUGUGAAAUCCCCGAGCUUAACUUGUGAAUUGCAUGAGAUACUGGUUGGCUAGAGUAUGGGAGUGGAUGGGAGAAUUCCAGGUGUAGCGGUAAAAUGCGUAGAGAUCUGGAGGAAUACCGAUGGCGAAGGCAGCCAUCUGGCCUAAUACUGACACUGAGGUGCGAAAGCAUGGGGAGCAAACAGGAUUAGAUACCCGAGUAGUCC